ACGUGUGAUCUUCGGACAUCUUAUUUCAAUGUGAAUAGUUUGAAAUGUAAGGAGGUGACCAGUCGCUUCCCAGCUUAUGGCUGCCUCUGCUGCUUAGCCAGAGGCCUUAGCCUAAGAACAGGGCCUCAGACUGUCACAGUAAGAGAAGGCUCUUACACUGGCAGACAGUGAUUUUGAUUCUUGUUUUGUACCUCUAUAACUAGCUAAGUGAUAACAAUACAUCUAAAUUCUUAAAGAAUUGGCCUUUACAGACAGGCUUGAAUAUCUAUAUCCUAACAGCAUGCUGUUAUCCCAUCUAUAUUCUUACUCUUCUGGGGAAAGAAGGUUGCAAUGAAGUAUGUGAUGAUACCCACUGGCAUUUGUGGGUAGGGGAGGCAAAUGAUCAGUACUAAGAAUUAUUUUUCUGGUUGAAAAAUGCUGGUUCUAUUUAUAUGGUGAAAUUUGGAAUAGAGGAUGAGAAAGGAUGUCAAAGAGGAUGGGAAAGGCACUUUUCAUUUUCUGUAACUAAAUCCAGGUCCAGCCUUUUGCUCGGAACCAGAAGAGCUGAUGCACAGAUACUGUAAGAGAAAGCAUUACAACAAAGUGAAAAAAUUAAUUGACUUUUGUGGAGGUUUGUGGUUCAAAAGCAAAAGUGCUCUGUCACAAUGAAGCUGGUGCCAGAGAAAUCUGGAAGUUAAUGUGGAGCUGUUUAAUAUCAUGUUUGUUUAUUUUAUUAUUUUCAUUUCAGGGCUGCCUAAUUAUGUCUGAUUGUUUUCAUGUUGCAGCUCUAAACUAUCAGCAUAAAAAUCAAUUACAACAUUACAUUUUCCUGUUUAAAAAUGUUAUUCAUGAUUCAGAAGCAUAGUGCUGAAACUGCAGAAGUAUUUUACUAGGGAAAUAACCUUUCUUGCAGCAGUUUCUUAGCUUACAUUGUAAAAUUAUGAAAAAGAUCUCAGGUUCAUUCUAAAUUUCUGUACUGGUUUCUUGUGAUUCUUUUCUCUGAAAAAUUGCAGCUGCAAGGGUCAUCCCACAAACUAUAGCACUUUAUUACCCUAUUAAUCUAGGCUUUAAUAUUCAGAAGUGACUAGUUAAUUUGCUGUUCAUCUAAAAGGUGCCAAAAAGUGCCAUGCAACAAUCUUCUGAAAGUGAGGCCCCUUUUAGCUGUUUCAAGUUGGACACUGAAAAAAAAUUGAUGCAUUCAAAAAAUUACUAGUCACAUUUGAAAAGAAACGUUUCAGUUGGGGGUAGCUUUAGUAUAGUGGCAUUUGUAUGGGAUAGGAGUCCGGAAAUGUUGGUUCUAGCUGACCAGAAACCAGGCAUGCCUCCCUAUCUAUCCAUUAGUUACUAGUGAUCUAUCCAUUAUCCAUCUAUCCAUUAGUUACUAAUGAUUAGUAUAAGGCAGAUAGCAGCCAACCAGGAGGGCUAGAAUAUUACUCUUUUUUUAAAAUGAAAGCUGAAAUUCUGAGGUAAUGUGAUUCCAGCAGCAGGAGCUUAAUGAAAGAACACCAACUAAUCACAAGAAUUAGCAAUACUAUAUUUAUUUCUUCUUCUGGUAGAUUGAGAUAUCAGACCCUUUAAACUGUGACACUCUAAUGCAUAAGAAAGCUAUUAGAGGUUUCUACAUUUUAGUUAUAUUUUGUUUCCAAGGCUGGUAAAGUGGUUACUAAGUCAGCAUGGCUUUUAUAAGCAGAGGAAUAAAAAGAAGUAUAAAAAAUUGUAUAAUUUUAAUGUUUCUUAAAUAGUAUCUAUAAGAUGAUGCCUAUACAUGAUGGUGUGUGGUGUUACAUAGGAUUUAUUAGCAUUAAUUUGGGAUGAUCUGUCUAAUUUACUCAUGGCUUCAUCAUCUCCAAGUAAUGUGCAUGCCACCAUUAAGUUGAUAAAAUCUUUAUAUG